GAGGGGACUUCAGACUCCCAUUCAUUCACACUUUCAUGACUGCAUAGACUCUCUCUCUCUCUCUCCAAUGUGCCUUCCUUACCGGAGUUUUCUUCGCUGCACCGGAGGCGGCGGAGUAACCCAAAAUGCAUUCAAACAACCAUCACAGUGAUCCCCUCAACCUCCUUUAUCCCAUUAUAGAACUCUCCUUUCUUAAAGCUCAAUUAAACUCCCAAAUCGUACCAAAAUAGAUAAAAACCCUAAGUUUAAAAAACAAAAUUAAAUGACGAUGGUUGGCUAAUCCGAAUGCAAACCUUAGGGGUUUGGGUUUUUGCCUGAUCAAUUGCUACAUUGUGGUAACUAAAUUAGAGCAAGGAGAGUGAAGAUUGGGGACCUACCUACAAAGCGGAGGUUGCCUUGGAGCUUGUUGAAUGUGAAGGUGAUGAAGCUGAAGAAAGAAGACCAGAGAUGUUCAGUUGCAAUUGAUGUUAGUCUUGAAGCAUCAUUUAUGAAGCCCCUCCUAGUUUGGCAUAACAACAUGGCUAGCAUGGCAUUAAAGAUACUUGGCAUGACAUGAAGACAACAUAAAGAUCAUGAAGGUUUUUGAGACCCACAAAAUAAGGAAGGUUUAUGAAUGAAGAAAAAUGGGAUUAGGGUUAGGAACAGUUGACCAAAGUCAACUUUAGGUCAACAAUGUGCAUUUUUAUGUAGAAUUGGAUUUUGAACUUCUUGUAAUGGAACUUUGGGUGAUUUGUAAUGAAAUUGACCCUUGAAUAGAAAUUUGACUUAAUCUUUGUAGGUGUUUAA